rnacentral:rRNA from 1 species
GACGAACCGUGCAAACGUUAUUCGGAAUCACUGGGCAUAAAGGGCGCGUAGGCGGCUUUCUAAGUCAGGGGUGAAAUCCGGCAGCUCAACUGUCGCAGUGCCUUUGAUACUGGAGAGCUCGAGGGAGGUAGGGGUCUGUGGAACUUCCGGUGGAGCGGUGAAAUGCGUUGAUAUCGGAAGGAACGCCGGUGGUGAAAGCGACGGACUGGAUCUCUUCUGACGCUGAGGCGCGAAAGCCAGGGGAGCAAACGGG